UACGAAGGGGGCUAGCGUUGUUCGGAAUUACUGGGCGUAAAGCGUAUGCAGGCGGAUCGUUAAGUCGGGGGUGAAAUCCCGAGGCUCAACCUCGGAACUGCCUUCGAUACUGGCGACCUUCGAGUCCGGGAGAGGUGAGUGGAACUCCGAGUGUAGAGGUGAAAUGCGUAGAGAUCGGGAAGAACAUCAGUGGCGAAGGCGGUCUGCUGGGCCGUUGCUGACGCUGAGGCGCGACAGCGUGGGGAGCAAACAGG
rnacentral:rRNA from 1 species